rnacentral:rRNA from 1 species
UACGUAGGUGGCAAGCGUUGUCCGGAGUUAUUGGGCGUAAAGAGCGUGUAGGCGGUUUGGUAGGUCCGCUGUGAAAACUCGAGGCUCAACCUCGAGACGCCGGUGGAAACCAUCAGGCUAGAGUCCGGAAGAGGAGAGUGGAAUUCCUGGUGUAGCGGUGAAAUGCGCAGAUAUCAGGAAGAACACCCGUGGCUAAGGCGGCUCUCUAGUACGGUACUGACGCUGAGACGCGAAAGCGUGGGGAGCGAACAGG